GAUGAACGCUGGCGGCGUGCCUAAUACAUGCAAGUCGAGCGAAUAGACGAGGAUCUUUCUCCUCUUACGUUAACGACGGACGGGUAAGGCACACGUAUAUAACCUACCUAUAGGACUAGCAUAACUUCGGGAGACCUGAUCUAACACCCGAUAAUAGAUUGAACCGCAUGGUUCAUCAGUGAAAAACGGUUUUGCUGUCCCUUAUAGAUAUAUCCGCGGCGCAUUAGCUAGUUGCUAAGGUAACGGCGUACCAAGGCUACUAUGCGUAGCCGACCUGAGAGGGUGAUCGGUCACACUGGAACUGAGACACGGUCCAGACUCCUACGGGAGGCAGCAGUAGGGAAUCUUCCGCAAUGGGCGAAAGCCUGAUGGAGCAACGCCGCGUGUGUGAUGAAGGUCUUCGGAUCGUAAAACUCUGUUAUUAGGGAAGAACAAAUGUGUAAGAAAGUAUGGACGUUUUGACGUUACCUAAUCAGAAAGCCACGGCUAACUACGUG
rnacentral:rRNA from 1 species